rnacentral:rRNA from 1 species
GCCGAAAGUCCAAGGGUUCCUGCGCAAUGCUAAUCAGCGCAGGGUUAGUCGGCCCCUAACGCGAGGCAGAAAUGCGUAGUGGAUGGGAAGCAGGUUAAUAUUCCUGCACCGACGGGUAGUGACGGAUUCUGGAAGUUGUCAGUCCUUAUCGGAUUGAAUUGGCAGCCAAGGAGUCCCUGGAAAUAGCUCCCGUAUUUGACCGUACCCCAAACCGACACAGG